rnacentral:rRNA from 1 species
AUGCAGUCGAGCGGAGAAGGGAGCUUGCUCCUGGAUUCAGCGGCGGACGGGUGAGUAAUGCCUAGGAAUCUGCCUGGUAGUGGGGGAUAACGUCCGGAAACGGGCGCUAAUACCGCAUACGUCCUGAGGGAGAAAGUGGGGGAUCUUCGGACCUCACGCUAUCAGAUGAGCCUAGGUCGGAUUAGCUAGUUGGUGGGGUAAAGGCCUACCAAGGCGACGAUCCGUAACUGGUCUGAGAGGAUGAUCAGUCACACUGGAACUGAGACAGGGACCAGACUCCUACGGUAGGCAGCAGUGGGGAAUAUUGGACAAUGGGCGAAAGCCUGAUCCAGCCAUGCCACUUGUAUCAAGAAGGUCUUCGGAUUGUAAAGCACUUUACGUUGGGAGGAAGGGCAGUAAGUUAAUACCUUGCUGUUUUGACGUUACCAACAGAAUAAGCACCGGCUAACUUCGUGCCAGCAGCCGCGGUAAUAA